ACGGAUAUAGGACAGUAGACUUGCAUUGGUAGAAUAACCACAACGAGAAGUUUGCUAACUGAAUUAUACUAAACAAGAGACACCACAGCAAUAACGGCGGGAUUUUCAAAUUGAAGCAACGUAUGUUGACGUAUGUCAACGCAUCUGUCGUCCACGUCCAAAACAAAAAUCCAACCACGGCCUGGAUCCCGACACACGGAGCACAAACCGAGACAUCCCGUACGACAUUAAAAUGCGUGCGCGACGCAACGAGCCCACUCGACGAACGACGUCACAAUACUCAUAGCUUCCUUCUGAACUCAGCACAAACUAUCGCUUAAAUAUAGAAACACGGCGCAGAACAGGAACACGAGGCGAUCGGGAAAGGAACACGCAGUGCUUUAUACACGAAACAUAUUGUUACUAACAUAAUAGGAUUUGUAUUGCAAUUCAAGAAAUGUAAUUAAGGAAAAAUAAUUAUACAUACAUACUAUAACAAUAAAUAAAUGUUAUUACAAUUAUUACCAAAUCGAGUUUUAUUGGUAUGGAAAUCGUUAUUCUAAAUACAGUAACUAAGCAGAAAUAAUCACAAUAACAAUUUAGGUCCUUGCUUUUUCUACAUAGCUUUACCAACAAUCAAUACACUGCAACAAAUUUUAAUAAGGUCAAACUCAAUCACUAAGAUCUGCUUUCAGCUUUUUGUCCUUGAUAUUUAAUUAUGUAAAGGUGAGUUCAAGCACUGGCACAGAAUUACACAUCAAAUCCCUUCUCCUAGUAACCUUUAUUAUUUGUAAGGAUAGUAUGGUGAACAGGUAUGGUUAUAUUAUUAAUCAUAUUUAUAUGUAUAGCUACAGGUUUUGAAGACUUGAUCAAAAAAAAGGAAUUAACAGUUUAAUAUGGAUUCAAUUUAAAUAAUAGUGCCCUGAUAAAUUAAUGAAAACUAAUGGGUGUUUUGUAACUGGAAAUAAAGUUUUAAAACCCAGCCCACAUUUUGUCGCAUUCCCCCUUUUCUAUAUCAGAAAUAAGAAUAAUAAGAUAGGUAAAUUUGUUUUUGUUGGUACU